CAGAAACUGUGUGGAGGCCGGUCAUUAGCUGCCUGUCCUCCUUUGGCCCGACCACAAUGUUCAUUGUAUGAGAGAACAGAAAGGCUCGACCAUGUAUUCCCUGAAAAGCCUUGGAAAUGACAUCAUCGUGAAGGACAACUUUCUACAAUUACAGCAACUGUACAAUCUUGGCCCAAUCAACUCCGCCAUUGAUGCCAAUUUAACAGCAUUCACCCUCCAACCAGUUUCUCCAAAUUAAGAUCCUGCCCACUGAAUCAUGGAUGGGUAAGUAUGCAGAAGCCAGAAUGUGUUAAGAGAGAAAG
rnacentral:misc_RNA from 1 species